AUUGAACGCUGGCGGCAUGCCUUACACAUGCAAGUCGAACGGUAACACGUCUUCGGAUGCUGACGAGUGGCGAACGGGUGAGUAAUACAUCGGAACGUGCCCGAUCGUGGGGGAUAACGAAGCGAAAGCUUUGCUAAUACCGCAUACGAUCUACGGAUGAAAGCGGGGGAUCUUCGGACCUCGCGCGGACGGAGCGGCCGAUGGCAGAUUAGGUAGUUGGUGGGAUAAAAGCUUACCAAGCCGACGAUCUGUAGCUGGUCUGAGAGGAUGAUCAGCCACACUGGGACUGAGACACGGCCCAGACUCCUACGGGAGGCAGCAGUGGGGAAUUUUGGACAAUGGGCGCAAGCCUGGUCCAGCCAUGCCGCGUGCAGGAUGAAGGCCUUCGGGUUGUAAACUGCUUUUGUACGGAACGAAAAGGUGCCUUCUAAUAAAGGGCGCUCAUGACGGUACCGUAAGAAUAAGCACCGGCUAACUACGUG
rnacentral:rRNA from 1 species